UGUGUGCACCAUGACCUGGACUCCUGUCCUCCUCGUGCUCCUCUCUCACUGCACAGGUUCCCUCUCCCAGCCUGUGCUGACUCAGCCGCCCUCCCUCUCUGCAUCUCCGGGAACAUCAGCCAGACUCACCUGCACCCUGAACAGGGACAUCAGUGUUGGUGGUAAAAACAUGUACUUGUACCAACCGAAUCCAGGGGGCUCUUCCCGCUUAUUCCAGUACUACAGUAACUCAGACUCAGACAAGGACCUGGGCUCUGGGUUCCCUAGCCGCUUCUCAGGAUCCAAUGACACCUCAGCCAAUCCAGGGCUUUUGCUCAUGUCUGGGCUGCAGCCUGAGGACGAGGCUGACUAUUACUGUGCCAUCUGGUACAAUAGUCCUUUGCACAGUGUGACACACAUGGACGGGGAAUGGGACGAAAAUCCUCAUAUCCAUACAUUGCAAGCUUCUGACACAUUUAUGGAGGCAGUUAAUAGUAUCACUGAUAUAAGAGAACAUCAGCCCUGA